GCACCUGUAGCUCAACGGGAUAGAGCACCAGCCUCCUAAGCUGAAGAUGAAGGUUCGAGUCCUUCCUGGUGUA
rnacentral:tRNA from 1 species